UACAGAGGUCUCAAGCGUUGUUCGGAUUCAUUGGGCGUAAAGAGCGUGUAGGCGGCCUGGAAGGUCAGCUGUGAAAACUCGAGGCUCAACCUCGAGACGUCGGUUGAAACCACCUGGCUAGAGUCCGGAAGAGGAGUGUGGAAUUCCCGGUGUAGCGGUGGAAUGCGCAGAUAUCGGGAGGAACACCCGUGGCGAAGGCGGCACUCUGGGACGGUACUGACGCUGAGACGCGAAAGCGUGGGGAGCAAACAGG
rnacentral:rRNA from 1 species